rnacentral:lncRNA from 1 species
UGCUUUUUAUCCUACAAUACUCGUCGACGGAGUCGGAGCUGCCUGGUCGUCGAUGACGUGUGUGUGGUGGAUUGUUUGACAUUGACCGACGCAGGCCUCUGCGGUGGAGGCUACAUAGGUGGUCGUCAAUGUGAUGAUGAUGAUGUCGGAUUGCAACCUCGACGGUGCUUUUCUUUUUGGCGGCGUGUGUGCGUUUUUUGUGUAGGUUGUCUUGUGUGCCUUGUUUUUGCGGGCGUAUAGUGACGAUUUUAAUCCGGUUUUUCGUUUAUUAAUCGGGUGAUCUUUUUUAUCGAAUCGGACCCUGAGGGACCAUGUUUGAAAAAAAGUAAGACACCUACAAUGAUGCUA